rnacentral:rRNA from 2 species
GCGCGCGCAGGUGGUUUCUUAAGUCUGAUGUGAAAGCCCACGGCUCAACCGUGGAGGGUCAUUGGAAACUGGGAGACUUGAGUGCAGAAGAGGAAAGUGGAAUUCCAUGUGUAGCGGUGAAAUGCGUAGAGAUAUGGAGGAACACCAGUGGCGAAGGCGACUUUCUGGUCUGUAACUGACACUGAGGCGCGAAAGCGUGGGGAGCAAACAGGAUUAGAUACCCUGGUAGUCCACGCCGUAAACGAUGAGUGCUAAGUGUUAGAGGGUUUCCGCCCUUUAGUGCUGAAGUUAACGCAUUAAGCACUCCGCCUGGGGAGUACGGCCGCAAGGCUGAAACUC